CCUACGGGUGGCUGCAGUGAGGCAUAUUGGUCAAUGGCCGUAAGGCUGAACCAGCCAAGUCGCGUGAAGGAAGAAGGAUCUAUGGUUUGUAAACUUCUUUUAUAGGGGAAUAAAGGUAUCCACGUGUGGAUAUUUGCAUGUACCCUAUGAAUAAACAUAGGCUAACUCCGUGCCAUCAGCCGCGGUAAUACGGAGGAUGCGAGCGUUAUCCUGUUUUAUUGGGUUUAAAGGGUGCGUAGGUUGUUUUUUAAGUCAGCGGUGAAAGUUUGUGGCUCAACCAUACAAUUGCCGUUGAAACUGGAAGACUUGAGUGUGUUUGAGGUAGGCGGAAUGCGAGGUGUAGCGGUGAAAUGCAUAGAUAUCAGGCAGAACACCGAUUGCGAAGGCAGCUUACUAAGCCAUAACUGACGCUGAAGCACGAAAGCGUGGGGAUCAAACAGGAUUAGAUACCCCUGUAGUC
rnacentral:rRNA from 1 species